AUGGAGAACCUGGAGAACCUGCUCAGGGAUUGGGAAACGGGGCAUUCAUCUCCAGAAACCUGGAGAACCCACUCAGGGCCUGGGGAACAGGGCAUUCAUCUCCAGGCACCUGGAGAACCCACUCAGGGUGUGGGGAAUGGGGCAUUCAUCUCUAGGUACCUGGAGAACCCCCUCAGGGAUUGGGAAAUGGGGAAACUCAUCUCCAGACACCUGGAGAACCCACUUGGGGAUUGGGGAAUGGGGCACUCAUCUCCAGAAACCUGGAGAAUCCUCUCAGGGCCUGGGGAACAGGGCAUUCAUCUCCAGGCAUCUGGAGAACCCACUCAGGGCCUGGGGAAUGGGACACUCAUCUCCAGAAACCUGGAGAACCCACUUGGGGAUUGGGGAAUGGGACACUCAUCUCCAGACACCUGGAGAACCCACUCAGGGAUUGGGAAACGGGGCAUUCAUCUCCAGACACCUGGAGAACCCACUCAGGGCCUGGGGAACAGGGCAUUCAUCUCUAGGUACCUGGAGAACCCCCUCAGGAAUUGGGGAAUGGGGAAACUCAUCUCCAGGCACCUGGAGAACCCACUCAGGGCCUGGGGAACAGGGCAUUCAUCUCCAGGCACCUGGAGAACCUUCUUACAGCAUGGAGAACAGGGGCACUCAUCUCCAGGCUCCUGGAGAACCCACUCAGGGAUUGGGGAAUGGGACACUCAUCUCCAGGCUCCUGGAGAGCCACCUCAGGAAUUGGGGAAUGGGGAAACUCAUCAUCUCACACCUGGAGAACCCCCUCAGGAAUUGGGGAAUGGGGAAACUCAUCUCCUGACACCUGGAGAACCCACUCAGGGUGUGGGGAAUGGGGACACUCAUUUCCAGGGACCAUGGAAGGAAUCGCUGUGGGAUAAGGCAGCAAACAGGAAGGGGUUAAUUCCCAGGAAGUGGGAAAUUGAGAUGCAGGCCUGGGGAGAGCUGAUCCAGACCACAAUUCCCAGCCACCCCGAGCACUGGGAAUGGCACAAACACCUGUGGACAGCCAGGGUUUGGGCUGUGUGA
rnacentral:lncRNA from 1 species